AAUUAGGUUCUCUCCUCUGGCUCAGCAGGUCUGUUCUAGCCAUUUGACCAAAGGCUCUCUGAUAUUUUCUACCAGCCUUAGAACGACAGUCUGCAGAUGUGUGCACAUAAAUGUCUGGGAGGAGCACACAGAUACUGUGGGAGGAGUGGGUCCGGCGUAGCUAUUGGGAGAUCUCGCUCGUACACAUGGCGCUACAUAGAAAGAAUGCCCUGAGGUGAAGGUGACAGCUCGGCAGUUUCUUAAUACCCUGAACUUGAGCGUGGCCUGCGCUAGAGAAAAUACACGGUGCUUCUUAAAAACAAAAGCCAGCAGCCUGCAAGAGGGCUGUGCCUGCGAGUUCCUGGGAGCAGGAGGGGGCUGUUCCUCCGCCCCUGGCUCCAGUUUCACCCAAGUCACUUCACAGCAGUUGGAAGGAGGUCACCAAUUGCUGCGGCCACACCAACAGACGUCGUCCGGCCUUCUUCACACGCAACGAAGCGCCCAGGUGGAAAUGCAUGUACCCGCGGCAGCUUCUCGGCAGCGGGCUUCCUGGGACGGAAGACACAGGCUCGCCCGAGGGAGACGGAAGCAGGGGAUCUGCUAGAACUCAGCUCGCCUCCUCCUUUCUCAGCAGGGCAGAGAAUCAUGGGCUUGUGCUGACGAAAGCUCCAGAAAAUGGACUCAUUUAACCUUUCCAAAGAUAUUAUCCAAGCUGCAAAAUCUUGGCAAUCUGAAGACCUUUUAAGUCGAUAUACCAAAGAGCUUUAGUCAGGAUUGAAUGCAAAAUGCCAAAAUUUCACUUUUAAAAUCAUCGUAACAUCUAAAUACAACCUAAGCACACUUGUAAACUGAUGCCGAACAGGCACUUGGAGAGCCCUCCCUGCACCCCUUCCUCGCCCCCUCCUUUGUGCAAAUGCUGUUUGCCCAGAACUUCAGCCACUGAAAAUCCUGGGAACUUUCUCUUCCUGGCUGCCAACCUAGCAGUUUGGACUCACAGACGAGAUUUUUAAAUCACUGAGGGAUUUAAGCCUCUCUGUGUCACAGAAAAGCGAACACCCUCCCAGUUGAAGGUGGCCCCAAAGAUGCGGGCCUGGGACCCAGGACUUCUGCAGGAGAGUGGACGCCUGGGUGCCCCCCGCCUUGCCCUGCACAUGAAUAACAGAGUACACCAGUCAUCAUAAGAAGAAAAAUUCACAUUUAAAGUUUGGAAAGCAACAGGACAAAGGUCUGUCUUCAGUGGUGCGUAGACAUGCUCGUGAUUGAAUUGGAAAUAGUUCUCUUUCCUUCUCUCUGACUUCCUAACUGAAAAGCUGCAGCGUGGGGAGAAAGGCUGCUCAGAAGCCUGGAGCCAGAACACGCACCCCGGCUUUUGCAGGGCCGGCUCACUUGGUUAGAAUCAAAGGAAAAGCCUUGUUAUUUGGGAAGCUGGGCGUCCUCACCAAAUUAGGGGAUUUAAUUUGCAGAUAUCUAAGGAGUGCUUUGAAAUGAAAGAUGAACUAAAAUCUGCUCUGAGGCCCGUGAUUUUUCACCAGUGAAGGACUCUCUUGCUGCUGGACAUACAUGAAAAGCAUCAUCUGAUCUGAAACGCAAGUCCCUGCAAGACAGAGGAGAGACUUUAUAAACAUUUUAUACCAUUCUAUGAAAUCAAUUCGAUUCAGGGCUAGAAUUCAAGAAGUAAUCCAUGGGCAAGUAUAUCUGAUGGUAAACCCAAACGAUUAUAUUGUUAACCUCUUGUACUUUUUUUAAUUUUUUAUUAUUUGAUAUUAUUAUCACAAAAGUCGCUGGAACAGGAUCCAUGAGCUGCUUCUUCACUGCUUAGUGUUUUCAGAAGCUGAUGGAUUAUUAAGCUCCAAUUGAAUACUUGAUUUCCAAUGAUUCCAUUAAUUUUUCUGGUUUGUGGUAGGAUUUGAUUUACUUAUUUUGUACUUUAACACACCAAUAAAAAAUAGAUACUAAGAAA
ensembl:lncRNA LINC00683 long intergenic non-protein coding RNA 683